UUGAAGUUUCAAGCGUCACGUGACAUCGCUCUCUUCUCUAAUUGGUCACCGGCAGGACAUAAACAGGAAGAAGGUCGGAGUGGGGGGAACAAAGCAGCAGCUGGGCGGAGAAUCCUCCUUCACACGGUGAAAAGAUGAAUGCUAACAUGCUAACAUGCUAGCUUCGGUAUAAUGCCAGAAGGUACAGCUGUGCUCUAAAGGGUGAGCACUUGGUGUGGCAUUACUGAUUACGAGCGCCUCGGUCUGACUACGUUCCCUUUUACGUCAUCCAAAAAACUGCCACGGUGUGGAGGAGUCUGCCGUCACUCCAGCCCUUUUCUGAUCCUGACAGAUGAGUUCAACCUGCAGCCCGCAGCCACCGAGAGGCAAGGGAAGAGAAGAGAAGAGAAGAGAAGAGAAGAAAAGGGAAGAGAAGAGAAGGGGGGAUGUGAGAGAAUGAAACAGAUGGAUACAUGAAACUGAAAUAGUUUGGGGGAGUGAAGGAAAGAAAGAGAUGCUGCUUAGCCUCACCUGCCAGUCUGUGUUAGCGGGGAUGAGCCAGACUUCCUGCUUCUGGAAGCUUAGUGUCAAAGGUGCCACUGCAGGGCCGUGUCUGACACGUGUGUGUGUGUGGGUGUGUGUGUGGUGUGUGUGUGUGUGUGUGUGUGUGUGUGUGUGUGUGUGUGUGUGUGUGUGUGUGUGUGUGUGUGUGUGUGUGUCCGUGCCCAGUAGGGGUUCCCCUGCAGUUCUUCUCGCCUCGGCACCGAUCACCUGCGUCUGUUGCCAUGACUCCAAGGGAAGAUGACUUGCAACUCCUCAACAAACUGACAGAAAAGACACACAUCUUCAUCCCACUCAGCUUUUUUUUUAUUGACCUGUCCAGCCAAAUUGUUCCUGGGUGUCAAACCUACGGCCCACGAGCCCCAUCAGGCCAGCAAACAGGUUUAGCGCGGCCCGCAAGAUGAGUAUGAAAAUGAGCUGCAAGAAAGUGCUCACCCCGGGACCAGACUUCAUGUGCAAGUGCAGUGCAUUGGGAGGCCUGCAGGGGAUCAUUUUGAAUGGAGGCAAGUCCUGGGUCCCGACUUUGAACAGCUAGCGCUUCAUCCGUGGUCAUCCAAUAACCUCUCCACGCAGGAGAGGGGGAGAGACGGCAGAUCAACUGGUCUAAAAAGGGGGGUCUAUUUAAAGGCUAGAGUAUACAAAUGAGUUUUAAGAUGGGACUUAAAUGCUUCUACUGAGGUUGCAUCUCUAACUUUUACUGCUAGAACAUUCCAGAGUACUGGAGCCCCAAUAGAAAACGGACAUCGUCCUCCUCAUCUCUGACCCCGACGACAUCGUCCUCCUCGUCUAUGGCUCCAACGACAUCGUCCUCCUCAUUUUGGACUUCGAUGACAUCAUCCUCCUCGUCUCUGGCGGACCUCUCCGCAGCGCCGCCAUCCUCCUCGUCUCCAGCAUCAUCGCCCCCGUGACCUCCGGCUGGACGGCCAUCAGGCGCUCGCACGCGGCGCCCUCUGUGGCCAGUGCAUGAACCCUUUUUGCGUCAACAGCAGCGACGCCCAGGACAGAGACGUGUGACUCGUAGGCUGCUGUGGUUCUGGCGCCGCUCGCGUCCGCCUUCCCGAUCGCCAAGAAGGUGGCCGUUCCUUGGUUGCCCGCCUCGCCGCCGCCACCAGACUCGCUCCCCGGUGGAUUUGGGGACACUCUAGCCGACAACCCACCACCAGUUCUCCCCUCCGCCCUACCUUGACUCUUGAUCUCUGUGUUCUUCUGGUUCCAGUUUUAGGACAUCUGGAAUCUGUCCGUAGGAGGGGGGUACUGUCACGGCCCAGGCGCAUUCCAACGCGCACUCGUCUGUGUGCUCUGCUGAGUGCACCUCCAAGAGCGCACCUGCGCGUGACACGCUUUCUUAAGCCAGCACAACCUGCUAUCCCGCGCCAGAACGUAGUCAUCUGUUCCAGUACACCCACCUUCGUUUCCACGUUACGAGAUGUGUGCCUCGUCUCCUCGCGUUCCCUCUGGUUCCCUGGCUGCAUCUUGGAUUUCGACCUCCUGCCUGGACACGGACUUUGACGCCUCUCUCCUCCCCUCCACCUCACGUCUGUCUCACGGAUCUCCGAGCCUGCCUUGCCUCUAUUGGACUUCCGCCUCUCGCUCAACACUACGGGUAACACACUACUGUUAAUUCACACACACCAUACACCUAUUUGGAUUAGUUCACACACUUCAUUUUCUGAUUAUUAUAUCAUGUGUAGAGUUAAAUGACGUCCCUCCUGUCUGUGCCGUCUCCUCCUCCUGUACACAAAACACAGAAAGUAAUUUGUCUAUCUCUAUGAAGUUUUCCUAUCGACUAUUGAACAGUGUUUGUGAUAUUUUUGAAAAUCACAUGUUUCAGCAGUUUGUACUCCACUCACAUAAACGACAAUAAUGAUAAUCGCUGUGAAACUCCCAACGUAUGUUAGUAUUACCGCAUUAAUUGACAAUGUUCAAAAACCGUGACGUGAUGCACUCAUGACAGGACUAGUGUUAGCUUGCUUGCUAGCCUUAAAUGCUAAGAUGAAAACAUGAAGAAAGGUCAUAGCCCAAUAUAAACAUUGGUGUGUAAAGUACUAAGACACAAUAUUGACAUGAAAUAUGUCGUCUUUGCACAAAGUGAUGCAUAUAAACUGUCGCCUUGAAACAGACGCACAGGAAUUGAACUGACGUGACGUCACAUGAACCAAAUCAAUUUGCAUUUAUUGAAAAAAACAACAUUCUCAAACAUGAACAUAUUAAAAUGGAUGCAAAUAAACAUAUUUCAACACACCAGUAAAAUGGCUCUUAUAAAGUCGGAACAAUAUCCGAUGGCAAAAAAGUGUAUUGUGUGGUUAUUUAUUUAGAAAAAAAAUAUUGCAAUUUGAUUAAGAGAUUUUAGCCUG